GGGGCGGGAGUUGAGACCGGGAGCAUUAUCACACACACUCAAAAUAACCCAGAAAGCAGGCGGGCCCAUAUUAGGUAAUGAAUCUCCAACAGAAAGCCAAGUGAACGAGAAAUUUAUUGACAAGCCGUGCUACCGUGUGCGUGUGCCUGCGGAGAGAACAAAAUAACCCCCGGCCUUCGAGAGCUGACGCAACUCCAGCACCAUCACACGCUCCUGGUCAGACGCUGCCCUAACGCCACGGAAACAAGUCUGAGCACCGGUGUUAGGUCUUAUGUCCACUGACAAGAAGUGUGAAGCAGUUCUCUGGGUUUUGGAUUUUAGGCUUGGGGGUGUUUCCGAGUCUGUGUCCGGACCGGGGCGAGUACUUCACAGCUGCAGCCCCCUAAGCGUGAUACUGUACCUCAGUUUCUCCAGAAAAAGAACAAAAAAAAAAACAAACAAAAAAAACAACUACAUUUAGCCCUUUUACCAGAUGCGCUUAUCCUGAGCAAAUUGCUCGGCUUACCUUCUUUUACAUGGUUAGUUUGUACAGCUGGAUAUUUACUGAAGCAGUUCGGGUUAAGUACCUUGCUCAAGGGUGCAACAGCAGUUGGCCCACCUGGGGAUCUACCCUAUAACUUAAGAGUUACAGGCCCAUCGUAUGAACCGUUAUGCUGCUCUGGCCCCUGGUCGGUGUUCAAUUUGGUAAGAUUUGGAACUGUAGGCUUGGCACACUUCCCUGGAGGGGGUCUGAUUUUAUUAAGAAAUAAGCAAUUACAGAACAGCCAACAGUGUGGAGUAGACUACUAUGCUCACAGUUGGUGUGCGUCCGGCUUGGCUGUGCUCCACAGCCUGUUUGAUGUGGUUUCCAGAAGGCCUGAACUGCAGUCCCUGGCCAGUCAUUCUGUCAUCGGCAGACCUGCUGUCUCUUUAGCCUCCAUUGACUCCUUUUAACCUCCUUCUACCUUCCUCACAUUUAAACAGCUGCGUGCCUCUCCUCUUUCUUCUUCUUUGGAAAUGAUCAGCUCCUAUAUUUUUUUGUAGCUGGAGAGAUUCAGCUCGGUUCUUCUACCUUCCUCACAUUUAAACAGCUGCAUGCCUCUCCUCUUUCUUCUUCUUUGUAAAUGAUCAAACCCUUAUUAUUUUGUGGCAGGAGAGAUUAAACUUGUUUAAUCUCUCCUAAAUUAUCCCACUGUAAUCAUAUUCAAGUCUUAGUUGCUGGGACAGUUUUACACCUACAACAGAUAUCUGAUGUUUGUUGUAUGUCUUGACUAAAUUAGGGAGUAUUUCUUUGCGAAGGUCCUUGGUUUUUUUUUUGCCCUAACAUGGACAUGCUAUGUUCUUGGUUUGGGUAUCUGGGAAAGAUAAAAAUGUUACAUUCAAAGAUAAAUGAAAUCCUCGCUGUUCUGAUAAAUUUCUGCUGAAUGGAUUUUUAUCUAAAAAAAGGAGUAUAUUUUAAAGGUUUUAAAAGGAGCAGUUUUAUGAUAUUUUUUUUCUUGCAAGUCUGUGGAAGUCUUCGGGCACAACAAAAUGUUAAAUGAUUUAUGUAAGCAAGAUUUGAUGUUUUGUUAUCGAAUAAAAUACAUUAGCUACCUCUGGUAUUUUGUUCUUUCAGAUAGAUUGGAUAAAGUUAAAGGUGCUGCAGAGCAAUCUUACUUUGCAUAAUUCUUCUUUUGCAGGUAGCCAAAGUACUAUAAGUGUCAGCUCCUGACAUUAAACUCAGAGUCUCGGCGUAAACUCCCCUGUGCGUAAUGCUGUAGCUACUGCCUGAAAUCCCCGCCUGAUUAACUAAAACAUUUCACAAGUUGUAAUAACAAGACUGCUGUUUUUGUAAGCUCGGUUUUUUUUCUCUUUCCGUUAACUGGAAAACACAGCAACAUACAAAUACAGUGAGCUCAAGAAAUUCAUCACUCACCUUGAAAAUUUUUACUGCACGCCCACCGAAAGAAACACUUGCGCAAAGAGUUGUGCAAAUACUGUCAAUGGCCAGAGGGGGCAGCGUCUCCAUCUAGCUUUGGACAAUUUUUUUUCCCCCCCUUAUCGAAGAGUUGAGAGAAAAAGAGAUGAUUAAGCAUUCUUAAUUAGAUGGAUCAUUUAAGAGGGCUGUACUGGCUACCCUUGGACACCUUUCCUGCAUAUCACAGCAUGUCACAGGUAAAAUGAUAGGCUGAAGAGAUACUUCCAACUUGCAAAAAAAAAA